AAACGAUUAUUUGCCGUCGGAUGUUGUGCACGCACAUGUACUUGAUAACUAUGUACAUAGUAUCAAAUCCAAAAAAAAAAUGUGUCAGAGAAAGAUUGUUUUAAACGAAUUUUUAUAAUUUGAACAUUCAGGAUGGCCGAAGUGUCUGAGAUAAAUCAAAUUUUAAUUCAAUGAAAUCCAAUGCAACCGUGGUCGACGAAGUUUCAUCACUAAUGGUAAAAAAUUGUGACUCUUUCAUAUUAUAGACUGCUGCAGAUCUAUGGAAAAUAUCAAUAGGAAGACCACUGGCAAAGUUACUUAGCCCGAGACUAUCAACGUAACUAAUGGCCCAAACAUCAAUACAGGGUAUUUAUGAACACUUAAAUAUCUACAAAACUGCUAAAGCUUUAAUUAUCAAUUUCCAAACUUGGCUGUUUUGGAACAUGCGGAAUUCAAAAUUGGUAACAGCAAGGUUAUCAGAUCUUCCACUUUUACGUUACACGUCAUAAUUUUUUCAGUAAAAGUACCGAAACCUAAAUAGUAUCUCCAAAAUUGUCAACUGGAACGAUAAAAUUCAGUAUCUGAAGGCUUAUGAGCAUGCAAAAUUCAAAAAUGCUAACACCAAUAUUAUCAGAUUUCGCGAUGAUAUUCAUAAUUCUAGUAACCUUUACUGAGACUCUUCUAAAGUUUUUUAUUUUCAAAAACUUCCAACAUUGUAAGAUGUUAAUAACUUUUUUCUACUCCCGUCUGUAAAAUACCUAAUUACCCACCGAUCUAGCGUGCGGGAAGCGUCACUUUACCACGUCAGUCUCGUUUCCCACGCAUUCGAGCCACUUCAGACAAUUCCGGGAUUUUAACGUACGAAUUUGGGAGCAAUUGGAUGUUUUCGGAGAUAUUUCCCACGCUUUGAAUUUUGACGUUUGUCAAUUCUGACGGUCAUGUCAGUGAACGUAUCCGUGUUGUUUUGCGAAAAUGUAACCAAAAACUAACGGUCGUAGAAAAAUUAUAGUAUGCAACACGUUCGGUAAACUUUUCAACUCGCUCGUAUAUUAAAAACUCGCUCCGCUGGGCUCCGCUCCUGUCAAAUAAACUCAUGAGUCCAAUGACGUUUGUCAUAAUAUACUAUUUACCACCAGUGGUAAAUCUGACAACACUGCUGUUGGCAUUUUUGACUUCAAUAUAUUCGAAAACUGCGUUGGCAGUUUUGAAAAUAUCAUUUAAGCGUUCGGUUACUUUUUACAGAUAACGCGACGUUGCUGUAGCUCAGUAAUUAACAGAAACAAAAUUUGGCAAUAUUGUCAAUAAAUGAAUGGAGCAGAUUAAUAAAUUCAAAUAAUUUAGGAUGCUGGAUAUUAAAAUAUUUGAAUCCGCAAACAGAUAGAAAAUGCAGAGUGUAUUUAUAAUAAUAAAUAAUUUGUUUGUGAGAGCGUAUUUGUUUACUGAAUCCUUGAGUAUAUGGCUUAAUCUCGAAAAGUAGGAAAGCAUGUACGUUACCUGCGACACCUUUAAAAAGGCAGAAGACAAUAGAUCGGAUCUAUCCACAGCUCUAUUAAAUACAUGGAAGUUUUAUAGCAUAACAUUACAAAAGUAUCCUUAAAUAAAUUGAAAAUUUUGCAUACAAAAAUCUCGAAUAGUGCAUCUUCAGGCGUUACAGAAAAUUAGCAGUUGUAAUAGCUAAAAAAUGUAAUAAAAUAUAAAUAUAAGAAGAAUUUAAAAAUUCGCCAUAUUUUAAUUUUUUAACCGGUUUUGAAGUCACAGGUACUUCCUUAUACUUUUAAUACAGCCUUUCAUUAAGUGACCAACCUCUUUUUUAGUUAUAUAUGACAUAACUCAACAAUUAUUGACUGGCAGCAUUCUCAACGAAUCUCUAGUGGGCUUAAUUUAUUUCAACAACUAAGGGAAAUAUUUUUGCCGCCUUUUUCACAAAAAGUACUUUUUAUACUUGAUAGUUUGAAACGACUCUGGGGUAAUAAACUGUUGUAUAGACUAAAUUCGAUGCACAUUAUUCCCAAGCAAGUUCAUCUAUUUGUUUGCUUUCUGCUGGUCUCCAUUAUUGCCCGUGUAAUGACGAGAAUCUUGCUUCACAAUAAUAUCAUCUAACAACUUCACGAAAUCUUCAAUAGUCUCUCUUAAAUUGUUAUUGACUCUAAAGUGAAGAAGUAGUAAAUAUCUCUUAUUGCCGCUCCUAUUAAUCUUAAAGACAGGCUGAGCGUUCGACUUAUCAGACAUAAAUACUGCAUACAACUAAACCGAUUUUCCUAGCGGCAGUGCUUUUAACGAGAAUUAUUAUUAAUGCAUAAUAGGAUUAGGCAUCGAAGUUUGGAAUGGCACGGCUUUUAGUAGCGGCGAUCCAUUAGCACUUUUUCAUCCUAUUUUUCUAAUUAAAUUUUCAUGGUGUGAAAUGCGAAGAUUAAAGCCCGGAUAAAAAUUCGGCGACCGUUGAAGCUCCUCGCUCUUUUUUAAUGGAGCUUGGAAAGCAAAAUGGCGAUCGGUGAUGCCGCAUUUUCUUUUGCAUUUAGAGGAGUGCACUAUUGAAUGUGCAAUUUUAUUAUUGGUAAGACAAUGUGGUGUUCAAAAUAUAUUCUACUUGAACUAGAACUAUUUUAAAAUGGGCAUUUUCCUCAUAAUACUAACUUUUAUGCGAAUCUUCUAAUUAGAGUGCCUUAUUCAAAAUUAUUUCAGCAGAUAUCCGCUUCAGGAGCUCUUGCUGACAUUCAGUCAACAAAUUGUGAAUCACUGAAUCAAGGAACCCAAAAUUAAAGCUCUUCUCUCUAACAAUUUCUACAUUAGAGAGAGAUAUUAAGCGCUCCAUCACAAUAUACCCUUCACCACAACCUCCCAAAAGAAAAGAGUCCGAAAGCAACUAGUUGCUGAGGUCUUUCCGUACAUCCAGAACAUGAUGAACAUGAUAAAAAGUUCUUAAGAAAUGUUAUGGUUAAAACCAGAUGUACUACUUUCACCAGGAGCAUUCCAUCAUCUGCGGAAAGAAUAAACUGAUCAACAGUUGCCGAACGCAAUCAUGUCAUCAUUGUUUUUCAACCAAAAAAAAAUCCGAUAACCUUAACCCCGACCUUACCUUUCACCAAUAUAGGAAUCAGUAACAGCAACUUCGACUACAAAAUCUUACAGGACAUUUUAUGUUUUGCAUAAAAUUGUUAAUAAACAAAAAAUAUUAGUAUGAGCAAGAAACGAACACAAUCGAAAUUAAAUAGCAGUUCGUAGUGCUCUGCGAAGCCCUCAUAAAAUAAAAUAUUUAAGAACACCUAGUAUAUUAUUUCAUUUUUGAAGUCUAUACAAAAUUCUAGACAAAUUUUGUGUAUAAUGUCCUAUACCUCAGUCUAACCGUUUUUGACGUGUUUCAUUUUUUAUGCGAAAUAUGACAUUUGCAAGUCGCCAAUUUCUUCAUUCGGAAGCAUAUAUUGUCUCACUUGAGUAAGUUUUGCUGAAGACAAAGGCCUCGA